CCGGCACGGGUGAGUAACACGUAUCCAACCUGCCGUCUACUCUUGGCCAGCCUUCUGAAAGGAAGAUUAAUCCAGGAUGGCAUCAUGAGUUCACAUGUCCGCAUGAUUAAGGUAUUUUCCGGUAGACGAUGGGGAUGCGUUCCAUUAGAUAGUAGGCGGGGUAACGGCCCACCUAGUCAACGAUGGAUAGGGGUUCUGAGAGGAAGGUCCCCCACAUUGGAACUGAGACACGGUCCAA
rnacentral:rRNA from 1 species